UCUCCGUUGGUGAACCAGCGGAGGGAUCAUUACCGAGUUUACAACUCCCAAACCCCUGUGAACAUACCUCUUCGUUGCCUCGGCGGGACUCGCCCCGGCGCCCCUCGGGCCCGGACCCAGGCGCCCGCCGGAGGACCCAAACUCUUGUCUCUUGCGAGUAUCUUCUGAGUGGCACAAGCAAAUAAAAUCAAAACUUUCAACAACGGAUCUCUUGGUUCUG
rnacentral:misc_RNA from 1 species